rnacentral:rRNA from 1 species
GACGAACGCUGGCGGCGUGCCUAAUACAUGCAAGUCGAGCGGACCAACCAGGAGCUUGCUCUUGUUUGGUUAGCGGCGGACGGGUGAGUAACACGUGGGUAACCUGCCCGUAAGACCGGGAUAACUCCGGGAAACCGGAGCUAAUACCGGAUAACACCGAAGACCGCAUGGUCUUUGGUUGAAAGGCGGCUUCGGCUGCCACUUACGGAUGGGCCCGCGGCGCAUUAGCUAGUUGGUGAGGUAACGGCUCACCAAGGCGACGAUGCGUAGCCGGCCUGAGAGGGUGACCGGCCACACUGGGACUGAGACACGGCCCAGACUCCUACGGGAGGCAGCAGUAGGGAAUCUUCCGCAAUGGACGAAAGUCUGACGGAGCGACGCCGCGUGAGCGAAGAAGGGCUUCGGAUCGUAAAGCUCUGUUGUUAGGGAAGAAGAAGCGCCGUUCGAACAGGGCGGCGCGGUGACGGUACCUAACGAGAAAGCCCCGGCUAACUACGUG